rnacentral:rRNA from 1 species
UACGUAGGGGGCAAGCGUUGUCCGGAAUCAUUGGGCGUAAAGCGCGCGUAGGCGGCCCGGUAAGUCCGCUGUAAAAGUCCAGGGCUCAACCCUGGAAAGCCGGUGGAUACUGUCGGGCUAGAGUCCGGAAGAGGCGAGUGGAAUUCCUGGUGUAGCGGUGAAAUGCGCAGAUAUCAGGAGGAACACCAACGGCGAAGGCAGCUCGCUGGGACGGUACUGACGCUAAGGCGCGAAAGCGUGGGGAGCGAACAGG